ACUCAAAGGAAUUGACGGGGACCCGCACAAGCGGUGGAGCGUGUGGUUUAAUUCGACGAUAAGCGGAGAACCUUACCUGGGCUUGACAUCCCGGUCGUAUCCCGUGGAAACACGGGAGUCAGUUUGCUGGACCGGUGACAGGCGCUGCAUGGCCGUCGUCAGCUCGUGUCGUGAGAUGUUGGGUUAAGUCCCGCAACGAGCGCAACCCUCGUCGUCUGUUGUAUUUCUCAGACGAGACUGCCUCGGUUAACGAGGAGGAAGGUGGGGAUGACGUCAGGUCAGCAUGGCCCUUAUGCCCAGGGCGACACACGCGCUACAAUGGCCGACACAAUGGGACGCGAAAGCGCGAGCUGGAGCUAAUCCCACCAAAGUCGGUCCCAGUUCGGAUUGGAGGCUGCAACUCGCCUCCAUGAAGUCGGAAUCGCUAGUAAUCGCAGAUCAGCCACGCUGCGGUGAAUACGUUCUCGGGUCUUGUACACACCGCCCGU
rnacentral:rRNA from 1 species